GUUAGUCUCCCUUAUGCUUAGAUUCUAAUCGAAGGAUGCCCGUCAGCUUACUCCUCUUUCUUGCUUUGAUUUGCUACUCGUUCCAAUAACUCGGUUUCAUUUAAUCCCUAAAUGUCUUUGUAAAUUUGUUUCCUAACUUUGCAUUCAUUGUGAUUAUGCAAUUUGUCGUGAAAUCUGAAAUAUGUCAAGAGCUUGACAAACCUGUUUGAUGUAAUUAAUUAUCAGGCGUUACCGAUAAUUGUUAGCCUCCUUCAAUGUGCG
rnacentral:misc_RNA from 1 species